GUGAGCGGGAUUGAGUGCUUGUCCCUGGGGCUCAGUGAGCGGGAUGAGUGCUUGUCCCUGGGGCUUAGUGAGCGGGAUUGAGUGCUUGUCCCUGGGGCUCAGUGAGCGGGAUUGAGUGCUUGUCCCUGGGGCUCAGUGAGCGGGGUUCAGAGUGCUUGUCCCUGGGGCUCAGUGAGCAGGGUUCAGAGUGCUUGUCCCUGGGGCUCAGUGAGCGGGAUUGAGUGCUUGUCCCUGGGGCUCAGUAAACGGAGUUCAGAGUGCUUGUCCCUGGGGCACAGUGAGCGGGAUUGAGUGCUUGUCCCUGGGGCUCAGUGAGCAGGGUUCAGAGUGCUUGUCCCUGGGGCUCAGUGAGCGGGAUUAAGUGCUUGUCCCUGGGGCUCAGUGCGCAGGAUUAAGUGCUGCCCCUGGGGCUCAGUGAGCGGGGUUCAAAGUGCUUGUCCCUGGGGCUCAGUGAGCGGGGUUCAGAGUGCUUGUCCCUGGGGCUCAGUGAACAUCCCAGCAAGGCUGUAGUCAGAACAUAGAAACAUUCUGUGAAUGAGACGUUGUAUGUUCAGAUUUUAUAAAAGCCGUUUUUAAACAAGCCCAAUUUACAGCCGUAUAUUUUCUUAUGAUGUAAUUUAUGAAAAAGAUGUCUGUUCUAACAGGUGCUCUAACACCACUGUUGUUGGGUUUUAUUGUUUGGUGAUAAAUGUGUACAAUCUUUCUAUGGGAAACUGUGUACUGUGAUGUAAAGUCUGGGCAAAAUGUACAUAAUCCUUGUAUAUAAUUGUGUAUUUGAUUAUAAUUACUGAUUGUAAAGAUUUAAUAAAACAUGUAAAUACUUGGGUCUAGUUUUACUG
rnacentral:lncRNA from 1 species